rnacentral:rRNA from 1 species
ACUGUUUCGGCUAGGGGGCCAUCCCGGCUUACCAACCCGAUGCAAACUGCGAAUACCGGAGAAUGUUAUCACGGGAGACACACGGCGGGUGCUAACGUCCGUCGUGAAGAGGGAAACAACCCAGACCGCCAGCUAAGGUCCCAAAGUCAUGGUUAAGUGGGAAACGAUGUGGGAAGGCCCAGACAGCCAGGAUGUUGGCUUAGAAGCAGCCAUCAUUUAAAGAAAGCGUAAUAGCUCACUGGUCGAGUCGGCCUGCGCGGAAGAUGUAACGGGGCUAAACC